rnacentral:rRNA from 1 species
ACGAACGCUGGCGGCGUGCUUAACACAUGCAAGUCGAACGGAAAGGCCCUGCUUGCAGGGUACUCGAGUGGCGAACGGGUGAGUAACACGUGGGUGAUCUGCCCUGCACUUCGGGAUAAGCCUGGGAAACUGGGUCUAAUACCGGAUAGGAGCCAUUUUUAGUGUGAUGGUUGGAAAGUUUUUUCGGUGUAGGAUGAGCUCGCGGCCUAUCAGCUUGUUGGUGGGGUAAUGGCCUACCAAGGCGGCGACGGGUAGCCGGCCUGAGAGGGUGGACGGCCACAUUGGGACUGAGAUACGGCCCAGACUCCUACGGGAGGCAGCAGUGGGGAAUAUUGCACAAUGGGCGCAAGCCUGAUGCAGCGACGCCGCGUGGGGGAUGACGGCCUUCGGGUUGUAAACUCCUUUCGCUAGGGACGAAGCUUUUUGUGACAGUACCUAGAUAAGAAGCACCGGCUAACUACGUG